AAUAAAUAAAAAAUUAAAAAAAAUAAAAAAAAUAAAGAGGCCAGUAAGUUAAAAAGAAGCUGUUAGGGUGGGGCGCUGAUGCAGUAUACUGGUGUCCUAAGUGGGGCGGCAGGGCGGGGUGUGUGGCUGGGUAGCUCAGUUAGGCAUACAAUUCUUGGUUUAGGCUCCACUCAGGUCAUGAUCUGGGAGUUAUGGGAUAGACCCCUCCCCUCCGGCAACAGCUCCGUUAUCACUGGGGAGUCUGUGUGUGCAGUCUCACAUAAAUAAAAAUAUAAAAUCUUUAUUUUUUAAAAAUAUUUUAUUGAUUUAUUCAUGAGAGACACAGAGAGAAAAAGGAGAGAGAAAGGGAGAUGCCACAUAAAGAGACAGCAAGAGGACAGCCAUCUGCAAGCCAAGGGGAAGGGACUUGAGAGAAACCAACCCUGUCAGUACUUUGAUCUUGGAUUUCUAGCCUCCAGAACUGUGAGAAAAUAAACUUCUGUUGUUUAAGCCACCCAGUCUGUGGUAUUUUGUUAAGGCAGCCCUCGCAAAUUAAUAUAGGCCAGCUCUCCCCUUUUACUCCAAAAAGCAGGAGAGAGAAAUCAAUUUAUACACAUGCACUCUCUUUAAGGCAACAGACCUGGUUAGCCUGAAUGUGGUUCAUGUCACCAGAAAACCAAAGGGAGUUCUGGACCUACCUGCACCUCCUGGCAUUCUCACUCCUACACAUUUUCAGAAGGCUGCUGGGCUCAGAACUUGACUCUAUCCUACUGUCGGCAUUCCAGAAAAUCAAGGGUGUUCAAAUGGGGGUACUAGGAAGGGCAGGCAAGGGCGGGCUCCCCUGAAAGGUGCUCCCAAAGCCUGGCUGUUUGAGGAGUGAAGAGGAGGCAGGCAAGAUAGCAGUCAGCAAGGGGAAGCAUGACACAAAGUGGAAGGUAUUGCUUGCGGGUGUGGCAUCAUGGCCACCUGUACAGUUUGCUUUGUGGAACUGAACGUAGGGCCUUGAACACAGGGUGCAGGAUCUGUGACUCCGUGUUUUCAGGAAGGUGUCCCAGUUCUUAACCUAAGAGUUAAUUCACAGGCUUGUGAUUCUGGUCUGCUUCUAUACCCAGCCUUGGCUUGUGUACUUGGCCACAGAGUAGGAUGGGUGGUUAAGUUCCCUCAAAAGACCAUCCUUUGAGGCUCAGUCCUGGUGGAAGACUGCCUGAAAAUAGCUGAAAGUAGCCCUAUAACUCCUCCCCUUCUUUCCCUACAGGAGGCUUCUCUCAUUCCAAGGCAGUCAUUUCCCCUCUCUUGGAAUCUGAGAUAGCCCUGUGGCUUGCUCUGACUGAUAAAAUACUGUGUGUGUGAUGUUAUGUGACUUCUGAGCCUGGGUCUUAAGACAUGAAAACUGUCAUGUCAAUGACUCAGGUUAGACUGCUGAAUGGCCUGGGACCAAGGCGACAGAGAACGCCCAGCCUUCUAGGUGUCCCCAGAAAUGCCCCUGCAAUGUGGGAAAGUCCAGAUUGGACUUUCAAGCCCAAGACAAUCUAGCUGCCAACUGUAUGCAACCAGGUGAGUGACCUCAGGAAGACCAUCAAAGAAUGCCCAGCCAGCCCAAAGAAUGGAGAGAAAUAAUAAAUUGUUGUUGCUGAAGUUACUAAGUUUUGUGAAACUCUGGGCUGAGUAUCUGAGCUCUCUCAGUAAACUUUUGGGGGCAAGGACACUGGCUUACAAGACAUCUUGUGCUGCUUGUAUCCUUGAUCAUCCAAAUGCCAUGAGCAGAUGUGACUUAUCCCUGCCUAGUCAGUGAUGCAGGAGGCAAACAAAUAAACAAGGAGCAUCAAUCCCAGUGUCUGAGACCCUGGCCCCACCAAUGACAUGUUCAGCAUAAAGGCCACUUCAUUCUACUUUCUGCUUAAUAACUGGGAAAAGGAGGAUUAGUAAUACUGUUAUCUGUGAUACUGGGAUAAACGAGAAAGUUCAAGGAAAGGAGUUCUGUCCCUGGGACAUUCCAAGAUAAAGAUUAUAUAUACCCUGCAACUCAAAGGGCAGAAAAGAAAAAUUUGAAUGUUAUCAUUAAGCCAGCUCAGACCCAGGCCUGGUGGCAAAGGAGCUAGGUUACCCUGAGAAUACUGUCAUUCUAGGAUUCUUUUCAAGGCUUCACCUCCUGAACACCCGACUCAGCACUCAAAGGCCAGGAUAGGAAGAUGAGUAACAUUGCUGGGAAAGAACUUCCCUCCUACCGCAGGGAACAAACAUGUAAACAAAUACACGUGACUCAUUUAUCAUGAAUCAUAACGGAGGAAGAACAUGCGCGGGGCUCUGAGUCCCAAAAGGGACAGGUUUUUUGUUUGUUUGAACAUGAAAAAUCUCCGUGUACAAAUGAACAUUCUUUGUUAAAAACUUUCCCCCUGGGAAGCAAUCUCUUUUCCAUACUGCUGUCCCAUUCUCACUCCUCCUCUGUAUGGAUAUCAAAUAAAGACCCAUACAAGAAAAUGCCUCACUGCUUUAUACCAACAGAAAGACACGGCCCUGCCAGCAGCCUCUGAAGAUGUUGGAAGACAACAAGAAGAACAAAAUGGAAGUCUUGGAAGGCAAUUACAAUCUCAUGGCUACGUGUGCGUUGUUAGCACAGAAGGCCUAGUGGCUGACAACUUGGAUCAAGUGUGUCUGCUUCUUCCUAAGCAGCAAGCCAAGCCCCUAGGGUAGGACUGUUUUCUGGUUCUGGAUGCAGUGAAAGCCUUAGAACCAGGCAGGCUGAUGGGCAUCAGAGGGACUUAGGGGUGCUCUAUACCAGGGUCCCCUGGUCAAAGUCUUUAGUGAAGGACACAAUGUGAAAUGUUCCAAAUGCUUUAAAGAUUAUGUUGGCUAAUUGAAUUUAUUUAUUUAUUUAUUUAUUUUCUAAUUGAAUUUAAGUAAAAAAAAAAAAAAAAAAGCUUUAAAAGAAAGCUUAGAUCAGUGUGAGAAGAGGGCCCAUUAUAUUUCCCUCAUUGCCUUAAUGUCCAAGUUCUUUUAAUGAGACCCUAGUCCUUAAUAGGAUCCUUAAUAAUGAGACCCUAGUCUUAUUAGAGUUACUAUAGACCCUGGGCAAUCAGGAGACAUAAUCUUCCCCUGGAUGACUGAGGCCUCAGGACACUGGCUGUGCUCUAGCUUCAGUGCCCAGUCUGCCUCCUCCUCUUCCCAGCACUAUCUGUUCUAUAGCCAAAGACUUGGGAGCUGCUCCAAGGUAAGCUUCCUGGGCACAGACUUUGUUUGUCUAAACCAGGGUGCCAUGAACACCUGUACCUCUGAUUAACCUUAUCCAGGUACAGGGUUUAGGUAUAAUUACCAGCCAAGCAACCCUGGAGGCUUUGGGGUCAAACAUCCAACAUGGAAUGGGGGAUAUGGAGGUUGAUGGGAGUGGAAGGUUUCUGACCCAUUGAAAGAUUCUGCUGGACUUGGUGGGAUGAGCGCUGGGUGUUAUGCUAUAUGUUGGCAAAUUGAACUCCAAUAAAACAAAACAAAACAAAAACAAAAA